rnacentral:rRNA from 1 species
UACGGAGGGGGCUAGCGUUAUUCGGAAUUAUUGGGCGUAAAGGGCGUGUAGGCGGCUUCGUAAGUCUUGUGUGAAAGCCCUCGGCUCAACCGAGGAAUUGCACGAGAAACUGCGUGGCUCGAGUCCGGGAGAGGAUAGUGGAAUUCCCAGUGUAGCGGUGAAAUGCGCAGAUAUCAGGAGGAACACCCGUGGCGAAGGCGGCUCUCUGGGACGGUACUGACGCUGAGACGCGAAAGCGUGGGGAGCGAACAGG